AUGCCUCAGGGGGUUAACCAACUCGCUCAAGAUAAUAAAGCGGGUGAAGUGAAGGCAGAGCUUCCGUCCUCCUCCCUUGGGGUCCCUUUUCUUCCUUCCCUUUCUUCCUUGAUUCCUUCCUUCCCUCCUCCCUCCCACCACCCACUUCUCCAUUUAGCAAACACACAGAGUCCACAUGACUGAGCGCCUUCACUUUCACUUUUCACUUUCAUGCACUGGGGAAGGAAAUGGCAACCCNNNNNNNNNNNNNNNNNNNNNNNNNNNNNNNNNNNNGGGAGCCUGGUAGGCUGCUGUCUAUGGGGUCGCACAGAGUCAGACACGCCUAAAGCAACUUGCCGCAGCAGUGAACACCUAACAUGCACCAAGAGCUGCGCUUGUGAACAGGGAUGGUGAGAUGGUACAGUGAGGAGCAUGAGUGCAAGAGACGAGGCCGGAAGAGUCUGCUGUGGUCAAGCCCAGCCUGGGGUCAGCGAAUCUUAUCUUGUUCUGGCCUUGCAGGGGGUCUCAUCUCUUUAGAAUGGGCAGAUAUGCCCAGACUAUUUUCAUAAAAUAUGUACAUACUUAUAUCUUCUAUAUGUAUAGUUUGUUGAUUUAUUAUUAUAUAGCUACUUGUAGUACUUGUAUUAGGUACAUAUUAAAUGUUUAUAAUCAUCUUAAAUGAAUUUUAAUGAGUCAUGUACACCAGAAUAAUACAAACAAAUGAGAACAUACAUUUCUGUAAAAACCUAGUUCAGUAGAAUUUAGCACAAUGCCUUCAUUCAAUUAAUAUGGAUUCAUCCAAGGACAACAGUAUGUUGGGGAAAGAUUCAUUGCAAAUGAGCAUCCUGAAGACCCUGCCACCUCCACCGUGCCCAUCACACAUCUGAACCCUUUCUUUCCUGCUCUGCCAUCACCACUGGUUAUGACUUUUACCUAACUGCAUGGCUUCCCUGUGGCAGUAGUAAAUAAUCUGUCUGCAAUGCAGGAGAUACGUGCUCAAUUCCUGGGUUGGGAAGAUCCCCCGAAGAAGGAAAUGGCAACCUACUCCAGUAUUCUUGCCUGGGAAAUCCCAAGGA
rnacentral:lncRNA from 1 species